CCUGUCAACACAAACUGCUUUGGUGAGAAAAUCGGGAAGACUGAGAAGACUGACGGCUGCAUUCCCGCACAGACCUCUGCGGCCUCCCUGCAGCUUCUCACUCACACUCUCAGAAUCACUGCGGCACUGACUGCAAAACGCACUUUUUCUGCCACUUUCUGACCAUGGGCUCCAUGGCGCUCUCACUGUGCUGAUGUGACUCUGCCCAGCCUCUUUCCAAGUCCUAAAUGUCGGACUAAAUCUCUUGUUUUUGAGACACAGUCUCACUCUGUCGCCCAGACUGGAAUGCAGUGGCACGGUCUCAACUCACUGUAACCUCCGCCUCCUGGGUUCAAGUAAUUCUCAUGCCUCAGGCCCCUGAGUAGCUGGGAUUACAGGGGUGUGUCACCACGCCUAGCUAAUUUUUUGUACUUUUAGUAGAGACGGGGUUUCACCAUGUUGGUCAGGCUGGUCUUGAACUCCUGACCUCAAAUGAUCCACCCACCUUGGCCUCUCAAGGUGUUGGGAUUAUAGGCAUGAGCCACCACGCCUGACCUAAAUGCGGGGCUAAAUCUCUUUUAGUGUAGCCCCGGGUGCACCUCAAUCUUUAUCCAAACCCUGGAGAGGAGGCCCUUUCUGACAUGAAGAUACCAUGAUUCUAGCCAAUCUGGUCGUCUUUUAAGAAAAAAGUCUCUGCUGCUGACCACGGUGGCACAUGCCUAUGAUCCCAGCUACUCAAGAGGCUGAAGUGGGAGAAUGGCUUGAGCUCAGGCCAAGUUCAAGGCCAGCCUCGGCAACAAGGCAAGAUCCUGUCUCUUAGGUUUCAAAACAACAUUUAGAAUUAAAAAUGUCGGCCAGGCAUGGUGGCUCACGCCUGUAAUCCAAGCAGUCUGGGAGGCCGAGGCAGGUGGAUUGCCUGAGCUCAGGAGUUCGAGACCAACCUGGGCAACACGGUGAAACCCCAUCUCUAAUAAAAUACAAAAAAUUAGCUGGGCGUGGUGGUGUAUUCCUGUAAUCUCAGCUGCUCAGGAGGCUGAGGCAGGAGAAUCACUUGAACCUGGGAAGCAGAGGUUGCAGUGAGCCAAGAUUGCACCACUGCACUCCAGCCUGGGCAACAGUGCAAGACUCCAUCUCAAAUACUAAUAAUAAUAAUAAUAAAUGUCCAUGACUGUUAAUGGCUUAGGGGGAUGGUGGAGUAUCAGAAUAGAAACUGUAUCAUAGCAGCAGCGGAGUGUGUAAAGAAAGGGAAAUGGAGACAAAUGAAACAACUUUUUUUUUUUUUUUUAAAUAUGAGGUCUCACUCUGUUGCCCAGCUGGAGUGCAGUGGCUAUUCACAGGCACUCACUGCAGUCUCAAAACUCCUAGGCUCAAGUAACCCCCCUGACUCAGCCUCUCCAAGUAGCUGGGACUACAGGUGGGCCCUAGCUCUAGAAUAACAACCCUUGAAGAGACAUCUAACUAACUGGGUUGAGGAAGGAGACAGGACAGGUCUUAAGCUAUGCCAUUCAAUAUGGUAACCACUACAAUAAGAUACAAU
rnacentral:lncRNA from 10 species